AUUGAACGCUGGCGGCAUGCCUUACACAUGUAAGUCGAACGGCAGCGGGGACUUCGGUCCGCCGGCGAGUGGCGAACGGGUGAGUAAUGUAUCGGAACGUACCAUUCAGUGGGGGAUAACUAUCCGAAAGGAUAGCUAAUACCGCAUAUUCUGUGAGCAGGAAAGCAGGGGAUCGCAAGACCUUGCGCUGAUUGAGCGGCCGAUAUCAGAUUAGCUAGUUGGUGAGGUAACGGCUCACCAAGGCUACGAUCUGUAGCGGGUCUGAGAGGAUGAUCCGCCACACUGGGACUGAGACACGGCCCAGACUCCUACGGGAGGCAGCAGUGGGGAAUUUUGGACAAUGGGCGCAAGCCUGAUCCAGCCAUGCCGCGUGAGUGAAGAAGGCCUUCGGGUUGUAAAGCUCUUUCGGCCGGGAAGAAAUCGCAUCAGCUAAUACCUGGUGUGGAUGACGGUACCGGAAUAAGAAGCACCGGCUAACUACGUGCCAGCCGCCGCUGUAACAC
rnacentral:rRNA from 1 species